ACAAAAACAAGGAAGGAAAAGAGACAACCAGACAAAGACAGAGACAGAGGAAAGGGGUAGAGAAAUGAGACCUUUGAAAAAAUGUCAGAGACAAAACUGAACACAAACAUUUGGAGGACAUACUCACGAGCCUUGUUCUCUCUCUAAUCUCUGUCAUCACUUUGCUCUCCUUUUUCCCUCCCGACGCUCCCCGUCCUGCCCAUCCUUCCAUGAAUCCGAGCAAAACCGAAGACCACCUCUUCUCUUCCCACCACCAGCUCAACCCCCAUGAUCUGGACCCCCCACCACCACAACCGUCCCAGAUCCUCGAAUCCUUGCCGUCCAUUCCACACGUUUCCGAAGACGACCCCACUUUCUCCCUCCCCGAAAUCGUCCUUUUCCGCUCCUCUUCUUCCCCUUCAUCCUCCUCUUCGUCCUCGCAGAGCCACUGCUCCUCCGAGUCGCCCUCCAACUCGCGUUACUCGCCGAUCCAACCUGCUCCGGACCCCACGUCAGCCUCUGUUCCCAAGCUCCACAUCAGCCCCGAGCCCCACAUAUCUUCCCAGUUCUACACCUUCAACGCGCAGUCCCACUCUUUGAUGAUCCGCUGCCUCCUGGAGCACCGACUCGCGACUCCGGCCGAGAUCCGGGCAGCCACGCCCCGCCCCGUCCUCAAGUCCUGGCGCGCCGUCUGGAAGGACCGCAACGAGGACACCGCCUUCCUCACAGCCUGGAAGCGCAUCCAGGAUAAGCUCUCCGCCCACGUCGAUCCCACCACCGGUAACCAAUUCCUUUGCUUCAAAAACAAUUCCCAGCAAUUCGUUUCACAUAUUAACCAGUGGCAAGAUAUCGUUAUGACUUCCCACUCCGAUACCGAUAUCAAACACUUGGGGCUUAAAGACACCAUUGAGAGAAUUAAGCAGGGUUGGACCGUUGGUGCCAAAUUUUACGGCAUCCCCGAGAGUUACAUUAGGGUUUGUGUUGCCGCGUGCCCUUUGUGCUCUGCGGCAUCAACGGGGGGCUCCUCCGCUGCUGCGCGAACUAAGCGACGUAGGUUUGAGUACACCGAGUCCUUUGAUGUGCCGGCAAAUGAAGUGCCCAAUAAGCUUCAGCAAUUGGCUGCCAAGCAUAAAGUUGUACUCUGCAUCAGGCAGAAGUAUAUUAGGUAUAAGCCGUUUAUGGCGGAGGUGAAGGAUUAUGCUUGUCAUAGGGCUGGGGAGCCUGCCACGAAGAAGUCAAAGAUUUUGAAGAGGGAGCCAUAUGCAUCCAAGCGUUGCGGGUGCGGCUUUCGGAUUAGGGCAAUUGUGCCAAUUGCUAAUUAUAAUGAGAAGGAUAAGACUUUCGUGUAUCAGGAAGAGGGGAUGGCGGUAUUUAAGCUGUAUGCUGUGCAUACAGGGCAUGAGCCGGGGCCGCUGGAUGGGAAUGCGAGGAUAAUGCAUAGGUUUGUGGGUCAUAAAGGUGCGUUUUUGAUGGACCAGGAGACAGUUUACGGGGUGAGUGAGGAAAUGGAGAAUGACGGGUUUGGGUUGGUGGGGAAGGAUGAUGGGGAUUUGCAACUUUCAGUUUUGCAGCAGUUGCAGGAAUUGAGAACCGAGGUUGGGCUGUUAGAAGGGAAAAUUACAAAACUUCCGCACGAGUUAUUGGGUUUGGUAUCUCAGGAAUUGUGUGAGAUUGUUAAUAAAGUUAGAGCUGUUGGGGAAGAGAGUUUGAGAGCAAUUGGGGUGAUCUCUCACAAGCCACAUUCAGUUGAUGUGCUGGUUGGUGAGAAUGAUCUGGCGCAUUGGAGUGAUCAUCACCAUGAGCAGAUUUAUGGUGAUAGCAAGGGCACGGAUUUGCUUGAGGAUGAUGAAGACAGUUUUGGGCGGACUCUUGGUGAUGUUGUUCCUUGGGACCAGAUGAGGGAAGAUUGUCGGAGUCAUAAGGAUAUAAUAGGCGAGCAUUGUAAGCCUGAAAAGUGGUUAAAAUGCAGUGACUUUGACGAGAAAAGUAUUCUUGAUUGUGAAGAUACUAAAUUAACCAAGCCCAUUAGACACGAUGAGGCUAUAGUCGCAGAUGUAGGUCUUGUUGGCAUACAGGUUGAUAGUUUCUACCAAGAGAAUCAUAAAUGGUAUGAUUCUCCUUGUGGGUUGGACAGUAAUGCAGAUUGCGAGGAUGGGGGAUUCGGGCAUGACGAGAUUUUGUAGAGUCUUCAACAGCAUGGCAUAUAUUGUUGGUUUGGACAUUUCGCAGAUUGCUCGUGUCUGGUUAAGAAUACUGUACCUGGCAAAAGACUUUGCAACAUGCAAGCACCUUAAAUUGAAGAGUGUAGUGCUAUUCAAAGCCAGCAUAUGUAACUCUAGAGUAGGUUGAGUCCUAUCAAGAAAAGUGGGCUGCACAAAAAGCUCUUACUUUAUGUUCUGGAUAGGGGUGAGCAAACUAAUCAGACCCAAGGAUGACUUAUUGAUGAGAGUCGGUUGGAAUGAACAGUGUGUCAGCAUCUGUUUGGAAGUUUGCUUAACAAAAUGGUUGGUACUGGAGAGGGGGGCUUGCACUUGUAUGUGGGUCACCAAGAAGUUAACUUGAGCUUUUAUGAUCUUGUAUGAACGCUCAGAAUUUGGAUGUGGCUGUCAUGCUCUCUAUCUAGUCAUCUUAAAUCAUUGCAAGACAAAUUCACUUCCUAAAUUUGGGGUCUGGAAUUACUCAUACCCGAUCCGUGUUCUGAAGUCUAUGCUGCAUAAGCUACACCUUAUAGUGUCAGCUUUCAGAGGCCUUACAACCUUGCCUAGGCCAUUCAGGAUUCCAGGAAUUGUUGCAUGAUAUGCAGCUUAUGCUUUUUCCAACUUAUGUUCUUUGUAGGGCCUCUCCUUGUGAACAGAAAUGCAUCUUUUUGUACUGGGAGAACCGUUUGUUUUUUACCUACAAAAAGUAAGGCCAAUCUUGUCUGUGCCAACGUGAUUAGAAAGUGUGAAAUAAUAUGUUCUGGAGUCUAGAAUUUUUUUAGUGGUACAAAAGCCAGCACUUAAGAUGUACUUUGCUCUUCAUGGGUCCCAUGUUAGAAUUGGGAUGAUAACAUUGAUUAGAUCAGAUGAAACGACAAGUAUUUGAGAAGAUUAAGCCCAGUGACAAUCGCAGGGUACUAGGUAUACAAAAAGUGCAAGGUAAAUGGAGUUGACACCACGUGCUUCUCUGCGUGUUGAGCCAUUUUAAUGGAGCUGCUUGGAUGCUGGUCUGUAGCCAAUCAUUCUAAUGGCCUGCUGGUUUUAACGUGUAGCAGGAGACCCAUGAAUACGGAUCUUUCUAUUUCCAUGCUUUGUUGCAACCCUUACGUUACUUGUUGAUAAUGGCUUAAUUAGGAGGUGUCUUGCUUUAUUCCUUCCAACUUUGUCACGUUAGUUUGUGCUGGAAUGUUUCAGAAUAUGAAAUCAUGAUGUUUGACCGAAUCUUUUGAUGUAUAGAUAAUUUGUUGCUGUUAAGCUAAGACGCCCGAUUGAACUCUAGGAGGGCAACUGUCGUGGGUCGAGAGAAAUUGUGGAAGUGAUGUUACUACCACCCGUCUUUUACCGGAACGAUUCUUUCUUAAUCUGUAUAGCGAUGGUAUGUUACUACAUUGACAUGAAUAUGCCAUUCUGUGUUCAGCAUGAGCCAAUCCACUAAUGCAUUUUGCCCUCCCAUAGCCCCAGAUUUGUCUAUGCAUGUGUUAGAUCUUCCUCACACCCAAAAUAAUUAUGGACGAUCUGCAUCUCAUUUAAUUCAGACAUAAGGUACAUCUCACAAGUGUGCCAGUUUAUGGGAACUGCUGCGGCCAUCUAGUUUUAGAAUUGAUGGGAGCUCCGCAUUCAGAGAGUAAGGCCUUUUUUAUCUGUCAAUCACAGAGUAAGGCCUAUAUUCACGAAAAUAAGAAGAAGAAGAAGAAGAAGAAGAAGAAGAAGAAGCUUUAAGCAUGUGAAUCAUUAUGGUGAUCAUUCAUACGGGGCUCUGGCAUCAACAAUUUUAGCUUUCGAGAUAUCAAUUUUGCUUUUGCUCGAACCUUAAUCAAACUCGAAAGUCCACGAGGGGGAUUGAUUAAAGCCCGAAUUUGCUAUUAUGGGACUGUUACUCCACCCCCAAGUUAACUGAAUUCUGAAAACCUUUUUUGGGUUGCCCCAAGUCUAACUGCAGUUUUGUCUGGACCAA